AAAUGAAUAGACGGGGACCCGCACAAGCAGCGGAGCAUGUGGUUUAAUUCGAAGCAACGCGAAGAACCUUACCAGGGCUUGACAUCCCUCUGACAGACUCUUAAUCGGGUAAUCCCUUCGGGGCAGAGGAGACAGGUGGUGCAUGGUUGUCGUCAGCUCGUGUCGUGAGAUGUUGGGUUAAGUCCCGCAACGAGCGCAACCCUUGUCAUUAGUUGCCAUCAUUAAGUUGGGCACUCUAAUGAGACCGCCGGGGAUAACUCGGAGGAAGGUGGGGAUGACGUCAAAUCAUCAUGCCCCUUAUGUCCUGGGCUACACACGUGCUACAAUGGUCGGUACAACGAGAAGCGAAGUCGCGAGGCGGAGCGAAUCUUUCAAAGCCGAUCCCAGUUCGGAUUGCAGGCUGAAACCCGCCUGCAUGAAGCAGGAGUUGCUAGUAAUCGCAGAUCAGCAUGCUGCGGUGAAUGCGUUCCCGGGUCUUGUACACACCGCCCGU
rnacentral:rRNA from 1 species